rnacentral:rRNA from 1 species
GAUGAACGCUGGCGGCGUGCCUAAUACAUGCAAGUCGAGCGAACAGAUGAGGAGCUUGCUCCUCUGACGUUAGCGGCGGACGGGUGAGUAACACGUGGAUAACCUACCUAUAAGACUGGGAUAACUUCGGGAAACCGGAGCUAAUACCGGAUAAUAUAUUGAACCGCAUGGUUCAAUAGUGAAAGACGGUUUUGCUGUCACUUCUAGAUGGAUCCGCGCCGCAUUAGCUAGUUGGUAAGGUAACGGCUUACCAAGGCAACGAUGCGUAGCCGACCUGAGAGGGUGAUCGGCCACGCUGGAACUGAGAGACGGCCCAGACUCCUACGGGAGGCAGCAGUAGGGAAGCUUCCGCGAUGGGCGAAAGCCUGACGGAGCAACGCCGCGUGAGUGAUGAAGGUCUUCGGAUCGGAAAACUCUGUUAUUAGGGAAGAACAAAUGUGUAAGUAACUAUGCACGUCUUGACGGUACCUAAUCAGAAAGCCACGGCUAACUACGUG